GGCGGCGUGCUUAACACAUGCAAGUCGAACGGACAGACAGAGAGCUUGCUCUCUUGAAGUUAGUGGCGAACGGGUGAGUAACGCGUAAUCAACCUGCCCUUCAGAGGGGGAUAACAACGGGAAACCGUUGCUAAUACCGCGUACGAUUCAUAGGCGGCAUCGCUUGUGAAUGAAAGGUGGCCUCUAUAUAUAAGCUAUCGCUGAAGGAGGGGAUUGCGUCUGAUUAGCUAGUUGGAGGGGUAACGGCCCACCAAGGCAAUGAUCAGUAGCCGGUCUGAGAGGAUGAACGGCCACAUUGGGACUGAGACACGGCCCAAACUCCUACGGGAGGCAGCAGUGGGGAAUCUUCCGCAAUGGACGAAAGUCUGACGGAGCAACGCCGCGUGAGUGAUGAAGGUCUUCGGAUUGUAAAGCUCUGUUAAUCGGGACGAAAGAGUUCUGUGUGAAUAAUGCAGAAAAGUGACGGUACCGGAAUAGAAAGCCACGGCUAACUACGUG
rnacentral:rRNA from 1 species